UGCAGUCGAACGAUGAAGCUUUUAGCUUGCUAGAAGUGGAUUAGUGGCGCACGGGUGAGUAAGGUAUAGUUAAUCUGCCCUACACAAGAGGACAACAGUUGGAAACGACUGCUAAUACUCUAUACUCCUGCUUAACACAAGUUGAGUAGGGAAAGUUUUUCGGUGUAGGAUGAGACUAUAUAGUAUCAGCUAGUUGGUAAGGUAAUGGCUUACCAAGGCUAUGACGCUUAACUGGUCUGAGAGGAUGAUCAGUCACACUGGAACUGAGACACGGUCCAGACUCCUACGGGAGGCAGCAGUAGGGAAUAUUGCGCAAUGGGGGAAACCCUGACGCAGCAACGCCGCGUGGAGGAUGACACUUUUCGGAGCGUAAACUCCUUUUCUUAGGGAAGAAUUCUGACGGUACCUAAGGAAUAAGCACCGGCUAACUCCGUGCCAGCAGCCGCGGUAAUACGGAGGGUGCAAGCGUUACUCGGAAUCACUGGGCGUAAAGGGCGCGUAGGCGGAUUAUCAAGUCUCUUGUGAAAUCUAAUGGCUUAACCAUUAAACUGCUUGGGAAACUGAUAGUCUAGAGUGAGGGAGAGGUAGAUGGAA
rnacentral:rRNA from 1 species